rnacentral:rRNA from 1 species
AUUGAACGCUGGCGGCAGGCCUAACACAUGCAAGUCGAGCGAGCGGCGGACGGGUGAGUAAUGUCUGGGAAACUGCCUGAUGGAGGGGGAUAACUACUGGAAACGGUAGCUAAUACCGCAUACCAUCAGAUUUGCCCAGAGGGGAUUAGCUAGUAGGUGGGGUAACGGCUCACCUAGGCGCCGAUCCCUAGCUGGUCGGCUCGGAUGACCAGCCACACUGGAACUGAGACACGGUCCAGACUCCUACGUGAGGCAGCCGUGGGGAAUAUUGCACAAUGGGCGAAAGUCUGAUGCAGCCAUGCCGCGUGUGUGAAGAAGGCCGUCGGGUUGUAAAGCACUUUCAGUGGGGAGGCGUUACCCGCAGAAGAAGCACCGGCUAACUCCGUGCCAGCAGCCGCGGUAAUAC